rnacentral:tRNA from 1 species
GGCCCCUUAGCUCAGGUGGUCAGAGCAGGCGACUCAUAAUCGCUUGGUCGCUGGUUCAAACCCAGCAGGGGCCACAA